GGGUCAGGAGGUUGGUCGUGCCACCGGUACGUACUGGUCUCACUGAUUCCUCCUUCCUGAAGAACCGUAAUGCCAUUAAUUUGGUGUUGCGGGGAAACAGGACUAUUACUUUGAAAAAAUUAGAGUGUUUAAAGCAAGCUAACGCUUGAAUACAUUAGCAUGGAAUAAUGAAAUAGGACGAUCGAUCCUAUUUUGUUGGUUUCUAGGAUUGACGUA
rnacentral:rRNA from 1 species